AACGUAGGGGACAAGCGUUAUCCGGAUUUAUUGGGCGUAAAGCGCCCGUAGGCGGCCAGGUAAGUUGGACGUGAAAGCUCCCGGCUUAACUGGGAGAGGGCGUGCAAAACUGCCUGGCUGGAGGCUGGAACAGGAGCGUGGAAUUCCCGGUGUAGUGGUGGAAUGCGUAGAUAUCGGGAGGAACACCAGUGGCGAAAGCGACGCUCUGGUUCAGACCUGACGCUGAGGGGCGAAAGCGUGGGGAGCGAACGGG
rnacentral:misc_RNA from 1 species